AAACCAUCAAGCCUAGCUUGGUCUUGGACACGGUCGAGUGACCGGUCCGUAACCCGUUGGCGGUACAGUCCGGCUUCAAGCGUAGCAAAAAUUUCGCUUCAGGAGUCCGUGGCGGUGCCAGCCAGGCAAUCACAUCUCAAA
rnacentral:misc_RNA from 1 species